ensembl:snRNA U6 U6 spliceosomal RNA
UUGCUUUGGCAGCACAUAUACUAAAAUUGGAAGGACACAGAGAAGAUUAGCAUGGCCCCUGCACGGAUGACAUGCAAAUUCGUGAAGCGUUCCAUAUUUUU